rnacentral:lncRNA from 1 species
UUUCAGGAAUUUGCUUCUGCGUCAUGCGCAUGCAAUUUGACUUCAGAUAUGAUCAUCACAUGAUCCUGAAGCCCACUGCGUUUUAUUAAUGCAUUAAGCACUUGCCAUUGUAGAAAAUUCUGCCACAUGGUUUGUGAUUGCAAGCGAUACGUGGUUAUAUAUACAGCCACAAUGAGUGAUCUCAGCUUGAAGAGAACUCAACCUUACAUAGCUGUAGAGAGUUGACUAGCAGCUGCAAAGUGGUUAGUGGAAUAUACACGAUCAAAGUUUUAUUAUCGUGGCAUGAAUUGAGCCUGUGUACUUGGGAGGUUUCAAUAGUUUAUACAUCCAAGCUAGAUGAAUGAAAAUGACCUGUGGGCCUAAUCAGCGUGUGUUUUAGAAUUUGAAAAUACAACGUCACUAG